rnacentral:rRNA from 1 species
GUCUAAGUAUAAGCAAUUAUACAGCGAAACUGCGAAUGGCUCAUUAAAUCAGUUAUCGUUUAUUUGAUAGUACCUUACUACAUGGAUAACCGUGGUAAUUCUAGAGCUAAUACAUGCUAAAAACCCCGACUUCGGAAGGGGUGUAUUUAUUAGAUUAAAAACCAAUGCCCUUCGGGGCUCACUGGUGAUUCAUGAUAACUUCUCGAAUCGCACGGCCUUGCGCCGGCGAUGGUUCAUUCAAAUUUCUGCCCUAUCAACUUUCGACGGCUGGGUCUUGGCCAGCCGUGGUGACAACGGGUAACGGAGGGUUAGGGCUCGACCCCGGAGAAAACGCCUGAGAAACGGCGUUUACAUCCAAGGAAGGCAGCAGGCGCGCAAAUUACCCAAUGCCGACACGGCGAGGUAGUGACGAGAAAUACUGAUACAGGGCUCUUUUGGGUCUUGUAAUUGGAAUGAGUACAAUUUAAAUCUCUUAACGAGGAACAAUUGGAGGGCAAGUCUGGUGCCAGCAGCCGCGGUAAUUCCAGCUCCAAUAGCGUAUAUUAAAGUUGUUGCAGUUAAAAAGCUCGUAGUUGAACCUUGGGCCUGGCUGGCCGGUCCGCCUCACCGCGUGCACUGGUCCGGCCGGGCCUUUCCCUCUGGGGAGCCCCAUGCCCUUCACUGGGCGUGGCGGGGAACCAGGACUUUUACUUUGAAAAAAUUAGAGUGUUCAAAGCAGGCCUAUGCUCGAAUACAUUAGCAUGGAAUAAUAGAAUAGGACGUGUGGUUCUAUUUUGUUGGUUUCUAGGACCGCCGUAAUGAUUAAUAGGGACAGUCGGGGGCGUCAGUAUUCAAUUGUCAGAGGUGAAAUUCUUGGAUUUAUUGAAGACUAACUACUGCGAAAGCAUUCGUCAAGGAUGUUUUCAUUAAUCAGGAACGAAAGUUAGGGGAUCGAAAACGAUCAGAUACCGUUGUAGUCUUAACCAUAAACUAUGCCGACUAGGGAUCGGGCGGUGUUAUUUUUUGACCCGCUCGGCACCUUACACGAAAGUACAAGUUUCUGGGUUCUGGGGGGAGU